rnacentral:tRNA from 1 species
UUAAUUGAAACCAAAAAAGAGGAAAAUCAUUGUUAAUGAUAAAAAUGGAUUAAACCCAAUUAAA